AUGGUCACAAGAAGGUGCACUGGAUUGGGUGGUAAAAGAUGUGCAUGCGAAAGCAUGAAGGAGGCCUGGGCUUUAGGGACCCGGAAGCGUUCAACCAAGCUAUGCUUGCCAAAGCAGCGUGGCGCUUGUUUUAGGUGCCAAACUCGCUAUGUGUACGGGUUUGGAGGCACAGUGCUUCCUCGAUGGGUCAAUUCUGAAUGCUACAUGCCCUUCUGGGGGAUCAUACACAUUUCGGAGCAUUUUGCACGGCCGUAA
rnacentral:rRNA from 1 species